UGGGGAAUAUUGCGCAAUGGGGGAAACCCUGAUGCAGCGACGCCGCGUGAUUUAGAAGGCCUUCGGGUUGUAAAAAUCUUUUGUAUAGGAAGAAAAUGACAGUACUAUACGAAUAAGGACCGGCUAAUUACGUGCCAGCAGCCGCGGUAAUACGUAAGGUCCGAGCGUUGUCCGGAAUCAUUGGGCGUAAAGGGUACGUAGGCGGGUAAGCAAGUUAGAAGUGAAAUCCUAUAGCUCAACUAUAGUAAGCUUUUAAAACUGCUCAUCUUGAGGUAUGGAAGGGAAAGUGGAAUUCCUAGUGUAGCGGUGAAAUGCGCAGAUAUUAGGAGGAAUACCGGUGGCGAAGGCGACUUUCUGGCCAUAACCUGACGCUGAGGUACGAAAGCGUGGGUAGCAAACAGG
rnacentral:rRNA from 1 species